rnacentral:rRNA from 1 species
ACUGCUCAGUAACACGUAGUCAACAUGCCCAGGGGACGUGGAUAACCUCGGGAAACUGAGGAUAAACCGCGAUAGGCCAAGAUUUCUGGAAUGAAUCAUGGUUUAAAUCUACAUGGCCCCUGGAUUGGACUGCGGCCGAUCAGGCUGUUGGUGAGGUAAUGGCCCACCAAACCUGUAACCGGUACGGGCUCUGAGAGGAGGAGCCCGGAGAUGGGCACUGAGACAAGGGCCCAGGCCCUAUGGGGCGCAGCAGGCGCGAAACCUCUGCAAUAGGCGAAAGCUUGACAGGGUUACUCUGAGUGAUUUCCGUUAAGGAGAUCUUUUGGCACCUCUAAAAAUGGUGCAGAAUAAGGGGUGGGCAAGUCUGGUGUCAGCCGCCGCGGUAAUACCAGCACCCCGAGUGGUCGGGACGUUUAUUGGGCCUAAAGCAUCCGUAGCCGGUUCUACAAGUCUUCCGUUAAAUCCACCUGCUUAACAGAUGGGCUGCGGAAGAUACUAUAGAGCUAGGAGGCGGGAGAGGCAAGCGGUACUCGAUGGGUAGGGGUAAAAUCCGUUGAUCCAUUGAAGACCACCAGUGGCGAAGGCGGCUUGCCAGAACGCGCUCGACGGUGAGGGAUGAAAGCUGGGGGAGCAAACCGGAUUAGAUACCCGGGUAGUCCCAGCUGUAAACGAUGCAGACUCGGUGAUGAGUUGGCUUAUUGCUAACUCAGUGCCGCAGGGAAGCCGUUAAGUUUGCCGCCUGGGGAGUACGGUCGCAAGACUGAAACUUAAAGGAAUUGGCGGGGGAGCA